rnacentral:rRNA from 1 species
AACGAACGCUGGCGGCAUGCCUAACACAUGCAAGUCGAACGAGACCUUCGGGCCUAGUGGCGCACGGGUGCGUAACGCGUGGGAACCUGCCCGUAGGUUCGGAAUAACUCCCCGAAAGGGGUGCUAAUACCGGAUAAUGUCUUAGGACCAAAGAUUUAUCGCCUUUGGAUGGGCCCGGGUUGGAUUAGCUAGUUGGUAGGGUAAAAGCCUACCAAGGCGACGAUCCAUAGCUGGUCUGAGAGGAUGAUCAGACAGACUGGGACUGAGACACGGCCCAGACUCGUACGGGAGGAAGCAGUGGGGAAUAUUGGACAAUGGGCGAAAGACUGAUCCAGCAAUGCCGCGUGAGUGAUGAAGGCCGUAGGGUUGUAAAGCUCUUUUACCCGGGAUGAUAAUGACAGUACCGGGAGAAUAAGCUCCGGCUAACUCCGUG